AUGCCCGAGGCCGGCCGCUACACCCACAAGAAGGACGACGGCAUCUGCAACAGCGUCUGCGGCGAGCCCACCUCAAAGGCAGUUAUGGCCAUGUCAAGGCUCAAGUGUGCGCUUCGGGGGUUUGAUUUCAGGGUAAUUCUGGCUCUCUUGAUUGGUGUGCCACUGGUAAUGUUAAUGAUAUAUGCGCAUGGUCAGAAGGUCACAUACUUCCUCCGGCCAAUCUGGGAAUCUCCUCCGGAGCCCUUCAAGAUAAUCCCUCACUACUACAAUGAGAAUGUCACUAUGGAGAACCUCUGCAAGCUACAUGGGUGGAAAGUCAGGGAGACCCCACGCCGUGUUUUCGAUGCUGUCCUCUUCAGCAAUGAGCUUGAUAUCCUUGAACUCCGUUGGAAUGAACUGAGCCCCUAUGUGUCAGAGUUCAUCCUGCUCGAGUCCAACUCAACUUUCACUGGUGUGAUAAAGCCCCUCUACUUCAAGGAAAACCGCGAUCGAUUUAGAUUUGCUGAAUCGCGGCUGACCUAUGGCACAUAUGGGGGAAGAUUCAUGAAGGGGGAAAAUCCAUUUGUUGAGGAGUCAUUUCAGAGGGUUGCCCUGGACCAGCUCAUUAGGAUUGCAAGAAUUGAAGAUGACGACAUAUUGAUCAUGUCAGAUGUUGAUGAAAUCCCAAGUGGCCACACCAUCAAUCUCUUGAGAUGGUGUGACGACACUCCUAAGAUACUCCAUCUUCAGCUCAGGAAUUAUCUGUACUCAUUUGAGUUUUUUCUGGAUGACAAGAGUUGGAGGGCGUCAAUUCACAGGUAUGUGUCUGGGAAGACAAGAUAUGCUCAUUUUCGGCAGACAGAUGAGCUUCUUGCCGAUUCAGGGUGGCACUGCAGUUUUUGUUUCCGGCACAUCAGUGAUUUUGCCUUCAAGAUGAAAGCUUAUAGCCAUGUGGAUAGGAUUAGAUUCAAGUACUUCCUGAACCCUGAGAGGAUUCAAGAUGUCAUUUGCAGAGGGGCGGAUCUUUUUGACAUGCUUCCUGAAGAGUAUACGUUCCAAGAAAUCAUUGCGAAGUUGGGCAACAUUCCAAGCACAUUCUCUGCUGUUCAUCUUCCUAGUUAUCUGCUUCAGAAUGUUGACCGGUACCGGUAUCUUCUCCCCGGGAACUGCAGGAGAGAAAGUGGCUAG
rnacentral:rRNA from 1 species